rnacentral:rRNA from 1 species
AUACGGAGGAUGCGAGCGUUAUCCGGAUUUAUUGGGUUUAAAGGGCGCGUAGGCGGCGCGGUAAGUCUGGAGUGAAAGUCCUGCUUUCAAGGUGGGAAUUGCUUUGGAUACUGCCGCGCUUGAGUGCAGGAGAGGUUAUCGGAAUUCCCGGUGUAGCGGUGAAAUGCGUAGAGAUCGGGAGGAACACCAGUGGCGAAGGCGGGUAACUGGACGGCAACUGACGCUGAGGCGCGAAAGUGUGGGGAGCAAACAGGAUUAGAUACCCUGGUAGUCCACGCAGUAAACGAUGAUAACUAACCGCUGGGUCGUAGUGAUUCAGUGGCCAAGCGAAAGCGAUAAGUUAUCCACCUGGGGAGUACGACCGCAAGGUUGAAACUCAAAUGAAUUGGCGGGG